rnacentral:rRNA from 1 species
GAUGAACGCUGGCGGCGUGCCUAAUACAUGCAAGUCGAGCGAACAGACGAGGAGCUUGCUCCUCUGACGUUAGCGGCGGACGGGUGAGUAACACGUGGAUAACCUACCUAUAAGACUGGGAUAACUUCGGGAAACCGGAGCUAAUACCGGAUAAUAUAUUGAACCGCAUGGUUCAAUAGUGAAAGACGGUUUUGCUGUCACUUAUAGAUGGAUCCGCGCCGCAUUAGCUAGUUGGUAAGGUAACGGCUUACCAAGGCAACGAUGCGUAACCGACCUGAGAGGGUGAUCGCCCACCCGGGAAGUGGAACAGGGUCCAGGCGCCUACGGGAGGCAGCAGUAGGGAAUCGGCCGCAAUAGGCGAGAGCUUGGCGGAGCAGCGCCGCGUGAGUGGUGACGGUCUUCGGAGCGGAAAACUCUGUUACUAGGGAAGAACAAAUGUGUAAGUAACUAUGCACGACGUGACGGUACCUAAUCAGAAAGCCACGGCUAACUACGUG